UGGGGAAUAUUGCACAAUGGGCGCAAGCCUGAUGCAGCGACGCCGCGUGCGGGAUGACGGCCUUAGGGUUGUAAACCGCUUUCAGCAGGGACGAAAUUGACGGUACCUGCAGAAGAAGCCCCGGCCAACUACGUGCCAGCAGCCGCGGUAAUACGUAGGGGGCCAGCGUUGUCCGGAUUUAUUGGGCGUAAAGAGCUCGUAGGCGGUCUGGUAAGUCGGAUGUGAAAUCUCCACGCUUAACGUGGAGGG
rnacentral:rRNA from 1 species